AGAAAAAAAAUAUAUACUGAACAAAUAUUGGACUCCGGUUAAUGAGUUAAUGGUAUGCAUGCUGAAUUAUUUAGGGAGAAAUAUAAUGAUGCCUGCAAUUUACUCAUUUUUUAAAAUUAAAGUAUAGUUGAGUUAUAAUGUUUCUUCAAAUUCUCUUGACAGCAAAGUGACCGAAUCACACCCAGUUCCCACUGCCCACCCAUUCCAGAUGGUAUGGUUUGUAUCCACCAACCCCAAACUCCCCAUUCAUCCCACUCCUUUCCCUCUCUCCCCUCCCCCUGCGUGCAAUUUAUUUUAAAUGUUUUAAAAUAAGAUGGAUCACAGAUGGGCAAAGGGAUGAAGAGAUGGAUAGGUAUGUGUGUGAUACAGCAAGUGCAGUGAAAUAGUACAGAACUAGACGGGGGAUAUAUGGGUAUACAUUGUAAAACUCUGAACAUUGCUGUCUAUUUGAAAAUUUUCUUUAAAAAAUGUUGGGGCCUUAUGUCUGGGUUGGGUAAUUGGGAGAAAGAGAUUAUAUUUAAGCGUAUAAGGCCAGGCUUGUAGGCUCUUAAUAUUAAUAAAAACCCUUUACACUUAACUCUUUGCAUGAAUACAGAUGAAAUUUUCAUAUUUAUCCUCAUGUUAUCACCCAGUCUGAUUUAUGUACCUCUCAUCCGUGUUCUUGAUUUUAGCCUUUGCCAUCAUGUCACCCUACCAGACUAUUGAGCACUGUUUGAUGGCAAGGACUUGUCUUUCUUUUUUUGCCCCUGGGUUCUCUUUGCCUAGCACAGUAUCUGACAUAUAUUACAUAGAGGGCAUUCACCCCAACGUUUGUUGGGUAUGUCCCAUGAGUUAUAAGGAGAGCUGGCUGAGGCAAUCGAGCUCUUUUCAAGGCCACUGGGAAAUAUGGAAGAUUUCCCAUAGAAACACGUGAUCUAAAACAUUCUAUGCAAGUGAUUCUGCACUUGGAAGGAAUCAGCUAGAUGCAGAGCAACCUGUUGGUGUUUCCUCAUCCAGCUUUUAUCCUGUCAUCCUGAUACCUAAAAUACAUUCUGGAUAAAGCCAGUGUGGUAUAUACUGAAGGCUGGCUCACUCCACUGCCACCCCACUUCCCUUCUAGUUGGAAAUAGUGGAAAACUAAAAAAACACCUUUACCGGAUUUGCCUGCAGUUAGUUAACCAAUUAUUUACAUUCACGCAAGACUGGUAAGUUGGAAGUGAGGUGAAAAGGCCAUUUUCCUGCUCUUAGAGCUGUUUCUUGUUCCUUUUGGUAAGCAAGGGUCUAGAUAUGAAAGGAGUUUAUGAAGCUGGGGCACUACCCAGCUUCCAGAGUGCCAUGGAGCAGUUGCAACAGUAGUUUCCCAAGUGUGACCUCCCAGUUGCUACAUCACAGCUACAGAGUGAGGGUUGGGUGAUCGACUUCACCCCAGUGCUAUUCUGGGGGUGGGGAGAGGAAGUGAGUGUCAAGCAUGGACUCCUACCCCAGAACACACAGUGUCAGUUUUUCCUACUAUUUGGUAAGCAUCCAAUCCCCUGAAUUCAAUCCCUUCCUGUUCGAAGUAUCUGGAGUGGUUUCCAUUUCUUGUACUGGUCCCUGGGUAUACAAAUCAAGAAAUACGUGUGAGUGACAAAGGGCAGGCUCUUGUGGAUGGGAAAAGGGUUGUAUUUCAGAGAUUUUUCACAAUGAGCACCCAUUCAAGUAACUGAACCCUACUUUGUGCCAAACACUGGGCUAGUGGCUGGCUUCAUGAGACAAAGGUCUGCUUUAAGUGGGAGAACAUGCUAAUAAGAUAUGAAGAGCGAGCCCACAGUGACGGAUGUCUGGGAGAAGGAAGGACAGGUGAGAAUGAGAGUCCAGGUGAAUGGGUGGCUUUAGAGGGGAGAGAACGUGCUUACGUUCAGACCCCAAACCAAAGAGUGACUAAAAUGUUUAGCACUUUAUGCAUGUAUUCAGCUCCAGCACUAUCUUUAACACCCUUUCCCAUCCUCUUUUUUUUGGUGGGGGGGGGGGGUUAACAUUUGACUGCUUCCUAUGUGUCUGGCACUUACAUAUGUUUUCUCAUUUAAACUGCGGAACGCCCUACGAAGUGGGAGCCAUUAUUUGCUUAAUAACUUGCCUGAGGUCUCACAGCUAUUGACGAGCAGAGCCAGCCCUCUAACUCCUAUCUUUUGAUCCAAAUCCUACAUUCUUAAGGGAUCACAAAACCAGAAUUUCAGUUCCGCAGAAGACGUAACAUGUUUAAAAACUAACACUGUACAAAUGUGAGGAACUGUUAUCCUUGUCAUGGAAAACCAAGUUAAAAACCAAGUUCUUUCUCCAAGUGUAAUGUCUUCGAGGCAGGAAGGACGGUGUCCACUCUGUUUGGACCCCAGAACAGGAUUAUACAGGCCCUAGGCUGGCUCCCAUCAGACCUAACUCACCCUGGACAAAGGGGAUGCGGGGCAGAGAAGGAAAACCGGUUGCUGCCACCAAGGCUUCCUCACUAAGGCAGCUCUUUAUCUCCUCCACCACUGUUUACAGCUCAGGGGACACCAUCCGGACCUAAUAAAUGAAAGUACCCAUUGGGAAGGGAAAAACACACAUGCUCCCUCCACAUACAAAAGGACAUUUGUGUCAGGCAGCCUAAGAGGCGGACACACACCCAGGGCUGGCCCCCUCCUCCCUUCACCCCUAGAGACAGACAAGAAAGGCAGCUUUCUGGUAUCCACAAAGGGGGUGGGGGUGCUGUGGCAGGGAAGUGAGCGCACGCUCUCCAAAACUGCUGACUUGAUUCAUCCCUAACUGACACAAUGCGGAGAGGAAGACUUCAGGAAAUGGGCAGAUUAUGUCCAAGAAAAGAUUUCCUGCAAGCAGUUAACGGGAAACUUACAUGAAAAGCGAAGACUAAAAAUACACAGGCUCUUGGAAGCCAGUGGCCAGGGCCCCAGGGCCUGCUGUUCUUCGAGAAGUGUGUGAAGAAGGUACCGGCCUGGAACCCUCCCUGCCCACCAACCUAGGGAGACCAACUUCGUAUUGGCUUUAUUCCCUAGAAAAGCUCAUCAGGCACCUGCUGUGAUUUAAAUUUCAAUCUAGCAUUCAAGUCCUCACUGUGUUGUAGGCUCUCUAUUCACAUGUCACCACAGCACAGGAGGCAAGGAUCCUACAGCCUUAUACACAGAGUGACUCAAAUGAUGAGAGAACAGGAUACGUAGCACAAACUAUCUCCUAUGCCUAUGUGAAUUUUUUAAAACUUUAUUUUAUGCAAGUGUAGUUGAUUUUCAAUGUUGUGUUCAUUUCUGCUGUACAGCGAAGUGCUCAGUAAUACGCGCACACAUAUUCUAUUUCAUGGUGAAUUUUGAAUAUCAAGGAGUAAGCCCCACUAUUUAAGACUUAAGAAGGGUUGGAAAACCUAUAUUAAGGUGGCAUGGCACACAGGACAUGUAUUUGCACUUGAAGGCAUCUGUAAUGACAAAUCAAAGCUUGAACCGGAGGGAAACUAAAACGCAGCUUGAGGAGAUGAAAAAUUAGCUAUUAGGAGGGUGUUUAUUGGAUUUGGAGAAAGCACCUUUCUGCACAUGUUCAAAGGCAGAAAGAAGCAGGCCAUGGAGUUCCCUCUGUACCCUAGGGCCUGAGCAGAAAUUUGAAGAAGACGGCGUACAUUUUCGGAGACUUCUUUUUCCCUUUCUCUUUUAUUUCUAGAAGCCUAAGUUUGCCAACUAUUACUGAGCCUCAACAGAAUACCCCCUACAGCACUGGACAACAACAGAUCAGGAAUCUCACAGUUUGAAAGGAAAAACGCAUCCUACAAAUACCAGAGGGAGGAGGGCAGUGCUGGGCUGCCCAGGACCCUGGCAUAAUUUCGAAGGGCUCAUCAUCCGGCUGCCCCAUUAGUAUACGCCUCCUAAUGGAGCAAGUCAUAAGUCCUUACACCCAGAAAUUUUAGGCCCAGAUUACAAAGGAAAAUCUUAUCGCCGACCAUCCUUCAAACACACCAAGUUUUUCUUCCAGGUCUACAGUCAAUAAUUAGAGGCCAAGACUCCUUCGGUGUCAUAUUUUUAAACCCAAUGAGAGCCAGAUGUGAACGUACAAUGGAAAACAAAACGUAGGUGGUCCUAUGUGAUCUGAGUCCCGGGAAGCUGGGCCGGGAGAAGAGCAAGUUGUUUUCUUACCCGGGAAGAUCUAAGACUUCUUUUGUUGCAAAAUCCCCUGGAUGCCUUUGUGGUGCUGCAUUCAAGGCAGCCAGGCAGCCUAGCACUCCUUUCUUAAACGCUGCUCCCAAAUCCCUUGGAUAAUCUGGCACCACCACUUUCUGCAUCUCUGUGCUCCUUUUCAGUCUUAGGGGGAGCCCUUUAAGCUUUUGAUCCCCAGGAUUUUAUGCUCAGCUUCCUCUUUUCUUACUCUCUAUACUGCUCAGUAGUUGAGACUCCUCUCAUCACCCAGAGUACUCCCAGAUCUACCUCUCCAGCCUAUACUUAAGGAGCUAUUGGGCAGCUGUUAAGUAGAACUGAUACCUUCACCUCCAUUUGAUACCGUCUUCCCACUGUCUCUGUAUCAGGAGGAAAGGGAAAUAACUAACUGGCACC
rnacentral:lncRNA from 1 species